UAUCAACGCCAAUGGAACAUUUCUCAACCAAUCAGAAUAAAGCAUUCAACAGCCCUGUGGUAUUAGGCAUGACUUCAUGCAGCGCUGAGAGAACCGACAGGCGGAUGUCGUCAACGUACCGCGAGAGCGAGUCGACAAAUUACACGUAGAAGUCUAAUUUUGAAUAGCUCUCGCGGUACAUUGACGUCAUCAUCGUGUCCAUUCUUGCAGCGCCGCAAAAAGUUGAACACAACAUCCGUCAGAUGCAGUGCCAUCAUUCUCCAUCAGAGGGCACUCUACCCACAUUCUACCCAUUCAACACUACAUCUCCCAUAAACCUUUGCAUGGACUCGUUUACUCUGAUCAUUCACACCUGUUGCUCAUUUACCUUAUUAGCUCUGCCAUCAUUAUACCGUUGCUCCCUAUUCCAUGGAGUCUAUCUGGUUCUUGGUUAUGUAACCACCCAAGGAUACAAGAUUUUGUAGAUUUAUACCUUCGAUAUUGCGUUUUGGAUCCGCCAUCGUGUCUGGCCUGCCUCACGGUAACAGACGGGGAACUCCACUGUGCUAAUGAUGUUGCGCACGUGCUCAAUCUGCAAUUUAAAAGGAGCCAUUUCGGACAAGGUCUCACAUUCACAUGUGCGGACCUCGGAUGGGAGAAAAAACUCCUGGAAAUCAUCCGCUACCAACUGGAGGCCAUCCUGCACCUCAGAGACUCCAAUGACCUGGAUCUCUUCAGAGACUGGUUUGGCAUCAAGAACCUAUAUUUAAUGGAACAACAUAAAUGUCUUAGGUGUGUGAUGGUCACAUCCAUGUCUAGUUGAAGAUCGGCUAAAGCCUCGUCCCGCCACAAGGACAAGUUAACGCUCUUACUACCACAUUUGAGGGUAAGGUCAAGGACAGGAACGUUUCCGGAAACUAUUCUCACCACAUGCAACUGUAAGAAAAUACAUACAUUUUGAUUACCUGUAUAGUAUUGCAACAGUAACAAUGUUAUGCUUCAUUGUGUUCUAUAAAGAUGAAAUGUCUUUGCUAGCCAAGGCACACACUCAAUUUUUUUUAUAAGUGGUGCUUGUAGACGUUUUCGGCCAGGAAUGGAGGAGAUGGCAUGGUUUUUCAAGACGUAAUGACAGCCCUCCUGAAACUCGUACUUGUUUGCACUUUGGGGGCUUGUAUACAUGCUACUGCCAUCCCAAAGUGCAUACAUGGUGGUAAUGGUUUCUGCCGAAACUUUAAUUUUUCCAUCUGCCACUUCAAAAGCAGUGCCCCGGCAAGAUGUUCUCGUGGAGAUGCACUGCACUUGAAUUUCUUGAGGGCGGUUGUAUGGAUGUCUUCCCCUUGAAGCCAUUCUACAGUACAUUGGACGCCGAUGCAUCAUUUUGAAUUUUAUUUGUACUUUUUUUGUUGACAAGUUCAGUUUUUUAAUGAAUUUUUAAUGAAUUUUUAAUGAAUUUUUAAUGAAUUUUUAAUGAAUUUUUAAUGAAUUUUUAAUGAAUUUUUAAUGAAUUUUUAAUG